CCUACGGGGGGCAGCAGUGGGGAAUAUUGCACAAUGGGGGAAACCCUGAUGCAGCGACGCCGCGUGAGUGAAGAAGUAUUUCGGUACGUAAAGCUCUAUCAGCAGGGAAGAAAAUGACGGUACCUGACUAAGAAGCCCCGGCUAACUACGUGCCAGCAGCCGCGGUAAUACGUAGGGGACAAGCGUUAUCCGGAUUUACUGGGUGUAAAGGGAGCGUAGACGGCAGCGCAAGUCUGGAGUGAAAUCCCAUGGCUUAACCAUGGAACUGCUUUGGAAACUGUGCAGCUAGAGUGCAGGAGAGGUAAGCGGAAUUCCUAGUGUAGCGGUGAAAUGCGUAGAUAUUAGGAGGAACACCAGUGGCGAAGGCGGCUUACUGGACUGUAACUGACGUUGAGGCUCGAAAGCGUGGGGAGCAAACAGGAUUAGAUACCCCAGUAGUC
rnacentral:rRNA from 1 species